GAUGAACGCUAGCGGCAGGCUUAACACAUGCAAGUCGAGGGGCAGCAUAAUGGAUAGCAAUAUCUAUGGUGGCGACCGGCGCACGGGUGCGUAACGCGUAUGCAACCUACCUUUAACAGGGGGAUAACACUGAGAAAUUGGUACUAAUACCCCAUAAUAUCAUAGAAGGCAUCUUUUAUGGUUGAAAAUUCCGAUGGUUAGAGAUGGGCAUGCGUUGUAUUAGCUAGUUGGUGGGGUAACGGCUCACCAAGGCGACGAUACAUAGGGGGACUGAGAGGUUAACCCCCCACACUGGUACUGAGACACGGACCAGACUCCUACGGGAGGCAGCAGUGAGGAAUAUUGGUCAAUGGACGCAAGUCUGAACCAGCCAUGCCGCGUGCAGGAUGACGGCUCUAUGAGUUGUAAACUGCUUUUGUACGAGUGUAAACGCAGAUACGUGUAUCUGUCUGAAAGUAUCGUACGAAUAAGGAUCGGCUAACUCCGUGCCAGCAGCCGCGGUAAUACGGAGGAUUCAAGCGUUAUCCGGAUUUAUUGGGUUUAAAGGGUGCGUAGGCGGUUUGAUAAGUUAGAGGUGAAAUUUCGGGGCUCAACCCUGAACGUGCCUCUAAUACUGUUGAGGUAGAGAGUAGAUGCGGUAGGCGGAAUGUAUGGAGUAGCGGUGAAAUGAUUAGUGAUCAUACAGAACACCGAUUGAGAAGGCAGCUUACCAAACUAUAUCUGACGAUGAGGCUCGAAAGUGUGGGUAGCAAACAGGAUUAGAUACCCUGGUAGUCCACGCAGUAAACGAUGAUUACUAGGUGUUGGAGGAUUGACCCCUUCAGUGCCGCAGUUAACACAAUAAGUAAUCCACCUGGGGAGUACGACCGCAAGGUUGAAACUCAAAGGAAUUGUCGGGGGCCCGCACAAGCAGUGGAGUAUGUGGUUUAAUUCGACGCAACGCGAAGAACCUUACCAAGUCUUGACAUCCCUUGACAGACAUAGAAAUAUGUAAUCUCUUCGGAGCAAGGAGACAGGUGGUGCAUGGUUGUCGUCAGCUCGUGUCGUGAGAUGUUGGGUUAAGUCCCGCAACGAGCGCAACCCUUAUGGUCAGUUACUACGCAAGAGGACUCUGGCCAGACUGCCGUUGACAAAACGGAGGAAGGUGGGGAUGACGUCAAAUCAUCAUGCCCUUUAUGACUUGGGCUACACACGUACUACAAUGGCGUUAAACAAAGAGAAGCAAGACCGCGAGGUGGAGCAAAACUCAGAAACAACGUCCCAGUUCGGACUGCGGGCUGCAACUCGCCUGCACGAAGUCGGAAUUGCUAGUAAUCGUGGAUCAGCAUGCCACGGUGAAUACGUUCCCGGGCCUUGCACA
rnacentral:rRNA from 1 species